rnacentral:rRNA from 1 species
UCCGAAGGGGGCUAGCGUUGUUCGGAAUUACUGGGCGUAAAGCGCACGCAGGCGGAUUUAUAAGUCAGGGGUGAAAUCCCGGGGCUCAACCUCGGAAUUGCCUUUGAUACUGUCUAUCUUGAGUCCGGGAGAGGUGAGUGGAAUUCCUAGUGUAGAGGUGAAAUUCGUAGAUAUUAGGAAGAACCCCAGUGGCGAAGGCGGCUCACUGGCCCGGAACUGACGCUCAUGUGCGAAAGCGUGGGCAGCAAACAGG